rnacentral:lncRNA from 1 species
AAAAUGUAUGGAAAUUAUGUUUUAUGGUUUGCCAAUUAUAUUUUAAUGCACAUCAUAGGUUAAGAACUAAAUCAUUUUUCAAAGAUAUGGAAAAAUAGGACAUUUUUAAGAUACUCCCAACCCUUGCCCCAUAUUAUUAUGCACACUCUUUAAUUUGAGAUCACCUUCCUCUUUCUUAUUACUUUUUCUCAAAAAAGGUUUCAGACCAUAAGAUUACUUUGUCAAUUAAAAUACACUAACAUGAAUUAUGUCUUGAUACUUUUCUAAAAGAAUUUUAUAGUUCUGGGUGAGUGCCAGUAACAACCAGGCUGGGGAAUCCCUGCUUUAUUUGGAACUCAAUGUUUUUGCUUUGCAUUUGUGUCUUCUUGCAGAUGCAUUCCUAAUCACAUCCUCUGAGACCCUGCUGGAGGACCUGCACAGUGGACCAAAAGAGCUGGAAAGAGAAGAGAAAAAGACAAGGAAAGAACAGAGUGAAAAUAAGGAGGAGAUCAAAAGAGAAAAAAAAGAAUGUGAAGAGAGUGGAAGAGGGAGCUAGAACAAAUGACCAAGACUUAUAAGAAAAAGACUGAGGCUUACUAUGUAGGGAUCAGUGAUCAGAGAAAAGGCUUAAAUCACAAGAGACAGGAAGAAGUGCACUUAGCGGGAAGCAGAAAAGCACCAAGAUUAUUUGCCUCAGUUUCUGCUCAAAGAGACUGUUAUUCUCAUAGAUAUUUUCCUCCCUUUUGAAGACUGGAAAUUAUAAAAAGCUGUCUGCAACAGCUGCUUUGAGGUCAUCUACAUUUGCUGACUGCAGGUGGAAAUCUCUUUCACAGAGCCCUAAAUGGAAGGUGGUAAAAUUUGGCUUUGAGGGAGCUGGACUCUACUAGCCUUUUGUAUAAUUUAUCAUCCACAAAGUGUGUUAAGGUGCUUUUGAUCUUUGGAAACAAUAUCUUUCAAAGUGAAGUGUUGCUUAUAUGUGACCGUUGGUCCUCUAUAGGUAUCUCAGUAUCAUGCUGAUUUCAAUGAGUGAAUGAAUUUUUAAGAUGGUAUUGUGAUGACUCAAUUUAAUAGAGAGACUCUAGAUCCCGUUGAAAUCCAGUUGGGAGGAUCAAAUGAGAGGAGGUACGUGAAUAGUGCUUUGAAAACCAUAAAGCACUAAG